UUUACAAUUUUAAAUAAAUAAUAAAUAUAUAUAACCCUAGUUCUCUUAUUCUAUCUUCACAAACCUAAAGAGAAGAUGGCAUUCUAGACCACUAUCCGAGUGAGCGGCGGCGACGAUGAAAGGCUAGACCACCAACGACGACGAUGGAGCAGUGGGGACGACAUAAAACCUCGGCGACCACCAUCAGAGAGAGCAGCAGCGGUGAAGUCGAAGGACAACUUCGAGGGGUAACUUAGCGUAGCAGCUGCGACGUUGACCAGCGAAGCAGUGUGCGCAGACCAGAGAUGCUUCGACGACCAAGAGCUUGACCAGCGGCGGUGAAGACGUCGAGGAAAAAGGAGAAGAGGAGAAGAGGCGGCGUUUGCUUGCGAUGCGGCUGUAUUGAAUUCUGCAACGGUUAAAGACUUCAAACAAGCAAUUAGGAAGAAAAUUGAAGAAGUGGAGGAUUCCAAGAUGCGCAAUCGUCACAUUUGUUGGAAGCAUGUUUAGGAAAAUUUUUGCUUCUCAUAUCAUAAUGAGAAGCUGCUUGAUGAUGGUGCUAAACUUCAGGACUAUGGUGUAAGGAACAAUUGUGAGCAUUUCUCCUAUCCACUAAAGGGAAAAAUCCUAUGACGACGAGAGGCGUUGUGAGUAGCGGCGAAGAGAAGCAUCGUGAGCAGUGGCGACGACCGGUGACCCUACCAGUUUCGGCGAAGAGAGGCGUCGUGAGCAGCGGCUAAGAGAAGCGUCGUGAGCAGCGGCCACGAGCAGUGACCCUACGAGUUUCGGCGAAGAGAGUGGCAGAUGGAGUGAAGAUCCCAAAGGUUGUCCGGUUGUUCGUGGCAAUAACUAUUGGCUUUAUCUUUGGAGUUAUAUUAUGGGGUAAAGGAGACGAAAUAUUGAUUUGGGUGAAUUUUUGGAUCUAACCAAAGCUAUUGCACUAAAAUUUCAGAAGGAGGAUUGGAAAAGAUAUCUUUGAGUAGUUUAUCUUUACUCUCAGAUAUCUCAAUUGAGGAGGUCAAUUGCUAUCAUGUCUUCUAAAGCCGGUCAGGUAUAAGCAUCUACCUCUAGUUCCAAUUUGGCUUUUUAUUGACUAUGAAAGUAUGGUUUAGACAAUUUCAUUUGUGUUCACUCUUGGGGCAAAGUUUUAUGCUUUUGCGUCUAAUUAUAAUAUAUUGAAUGCAUUUGUGCCAAAGUUAAAGUUGUUUUAUGCACUCUAACUCUAGCUUAUGAACUUACUGCUAUAUGUUAAUAGAAAUGCUGGAUUGGAAGUUAAUAUGCAUGUAUGAGAUCAUAAAGUUUGGCAAUUCAUUAAUGAGAAUCAGUGAAUCACUAUAUUUGAUGUGUUUGUGAUAAACAGAGCUUUUAGAUAUUUUUUUGACAGAAUUGAUAUAUACUACAGAUUAUUAGUUAAAAUAUGCUUUAGAAUUCUCUAUGGUGGUGAUGCAUGCUUAGAUCUGGUUCUGCAGUCUUAUUAGUUAACAUUGCAAAGAACCAAUGCACUUAUACUUAGUAUCUGCUUAAACAAACCAUAAAGAGUUGCACAGAAGUUCUGAUCUGAUCUAUAUGUUUACAUUUUAUCUUUUUAAGUUUUAUUUUAUUUUUAUUUUCACUAGGUUCUGUAUAGACUGUUGUUUUGGAUGUUGGCAUUUUCCUUCUGCCUAAGAGCAUUAUAUUAAUGAUAAUAAUCUAUUUAAUAAUGCAAAUAUAUACAUACUACAUGCCUGCAGAGGAUGCUUAAAUAUUUAGCUCGGCGGAGACAUAUAUAGAAGGUAACUUUGAUUGGUUUAGGCUAGAUGGAGCACCUUCUUGUCACUGAUUCAAUGUUCAUAAAUUAUACUCCGUACAUGUCUUUGUAGCUGAAUGAAUUUCUUGUUUAUUCUAGCUGAAUGAAUUUCUUAUUCAAUGUUCAUAAGUUCAUUGGAUAACACUAAAUGAAUUUCUUGUUUAUUGUAGCUAAAUCAUGCUCUCACAUCAAUAUGGCAUCUUAACAAGACAUAUUAGUGACCCUUGGCAUUUGUUCUAGUAGUUUCCCUUUUAGAAUUGCUUAAGCUUUAGAUAUUGAUAUUUUACUUGCAUGUAUGUGUAGGAUUUAUGUAUAAUGCUUUUGAACCUUGGGAUACUAUUCUUUUAGCUGCUUUAUUAUUAAAACAAGGAUGAGAGAGCUAGUACUUGUUGCAGUUUAUUAAAACAUUUUUAGAGAUGCCUACUGGUAAUUUAAGUUUUACCUCUUAUAUGGCUAUGCACUUCUUAUGAACAUGAUGUGCAUUUUCUAUUAACUGAUGGUUUCUAUUUUCUCUAUUUUUCAACUUUCCCGGGCAUCUCACUUCUGUCAGAGUUGGUAAGCUACUUAUGCAAUUUUGACCUCUACAAUGCGCUCUUGGCUUAAAAAAAAAUAAUUUGGACAUAUGCCAUGAGUCAUUAAUUGUGAGGCAAUAUAUCUUAAGGAAAAAUUCAGUAUCAUAUUUUAAACACUGAAUUUUAUGGUUUUUUUUUCUAUGGUUCUGGUUAUGUUGUGUAGGUAUCCAAAGGUGUAAUGGCAUGUGUCACACAAGAGGUGAAAGAUCUUUAUGAAAGUACAACCUUUGUUGAGCAAAAUCUCCAAACUUGGAGGUAAGGUGCCCUCAGCUUCAUCUGUCCCAGUAUGUUCCUGCCUUGGAAAUGCUUGAAACUUUAAGGUUGCUGCAGCAGGUAUCUCAGGUGUAUCAAACAAUACAGAUUGAUAUCCUAUCUAAAAUGAUCUCUUUCUUUGACUUUGUUGUUGAGAAGAUUUCUGUGGAAGCUGUAAAACACAACCUCAUAGCCAUGAAAGCUGAUCAUAUUAAGGGUGCUGUAUUUUUUGGAAAGCAGAAUAUUGAAUCCGAAGGACUUCGGAAUCACUUAUCCACUCUGGCCAAGACUCUAAGCAGGGUGAGAAUAAUAUGAUUUAUCCUCCCAUGAUGAAAGAAGCACUUGGGGAAGCACUCUCAAGUUUAUCCACUCUGAUUGUGUAACUAUAGGAGAAUUGAUGGAUUGUUAUGGAUGAUUAGGAUAUAUAUUAUUUGAUAGAUAGAAUGAAUUGAUUAUUGUGGAUGAUUAAAUUAGAUUAUUUUGAAUAUGUUUAAAAGAAAAUCGAUUAUUUUGAAUAUGAUUAAAA